rnacentral:rRNA from 1 species
CAACAGGGAUUGCCCUAGUAACGGCGAGUGAAGCGGCAACAGCUCAAAUUUGAAAUCUGGCGCAAGCCCGAGUUGUAAUUUGUAGAGGAUGCUUCUGGGCAGCGGCCGUUCUAAGUUCCUUGGAACAGGACGUCAUAGAGGGUGAGAAUCCCGUAUGUGACCGGCGCGCACCCUCCACGUAGCUCCUUCGACGAGUCGAGUUGUUUGGGAAUGCAGCUCUAAAUGGGAGGUAAAUUUCUUCUAAAGCUAAAUACCGGCCAGAGACCGAUAGCGCACAAGUAGAGUGAUCGAAAGAUGAAAAGCACUUUGGAAAGAGAGUUAAAAAGCACGUGAAAUUGUUGAAAGGGAAGCGCUCACAACCAGACUUCGCAGCGGUGUUCCGCCGGUCUUCUGACCGGUCCACUCGCCGCCGCGAGGCCAACAUCAUCUGGGGCCGCCGGAUAAGACCGCAGGAAUGUGGCUCCCCUCGGGGAGUGUUAUAGCCUGCGGUGAUGCGGCGAGUCCCGGGUGAGGUCCGCACUUCGGUAAGGAUGUUGGCGUAAUGGUUGUCAGCGGCCCGUCUUGAAACACGGACCAAGGAGUCUAACAUCUAUGCGAGUGUUCGGGUGUCAAACCCCUACGCGUAAUGAAAGUGAACGGAGGUGGGAACGCAAGUGCACCAUCGACCGAUCCUGAUGUCCUCGGAUGGAUUUGAGUAAGAGCAUAGCUGUUGGGACCCGAAAGAUGGUGAACUAUGCCUGAAUAGGGUGAAGCCAGAGGAAACUCUGGUGGAGGCUCGCAGCGGUUCUGACGUGCAAAUCGAUCGUCAAAUUUGGGUAUAGGG